rnacentral:rRNA from 1 species
CAGCAGCCGCGGUAAUACGAAGGGUGCAAGCGUUACUCGGAAUUACUGGGCGUAAAGCGUGCGUAGGUGGUGGUUUAAGUCCGUUGUUAAAGCCCUGGGCUCAACCUGGGAAUUGCAGUGGAUACUGGGUCACUAGAGUGUGGUAGAGGAUAGUGGAAUUUCCGGUGUAGCAGUGAAAUGCGUAGAGAUCGGAAGGAACAUCUGUGGCGAAGGCGACUAUCUGGGCCAACACUGACACUGAGGCACGAAAGCGUGGGGAGCAAACAGGAUUAGAUACCCCCGUAGUCCCUGUCUCUUAUAC